CUAGCCAAAGACCCAACCAUGGCCUUACCGAGAUCUGUAGAUAGAAUUGUGAGAGACAAGGCAUUCCCACAGGCAUGGAGACAUAAGAAGAUUGCAGACCCGGCAUGCCCAAGAUUGUUCACAUUUGUCAAAAUGCACAAGUGCCUGAUCACCGCCAGACCCAUAGUGGAAAAACAAAAAGCACCCACAUAUACAACCUGGAAAAGUGCCUAGCGAAGUAAUGCAUGAAAAUUUUAGGACAGAGUUGAUAUUCCACUACCUUGACGGAGAUGCACUGAGAAGGAUCAAAGCCAUAGAGUGGAAAGAGAAUAACAUUGCCGCCACUUAUGAUUUUCAGUCCCUGUACCCAUCAGUAAAGCUAGAACCAGUGAUGCUGGCAUUCUACAGGUUCCUUAUGGAGUAUGUACCCAUACACAGUAAUUAUGCAGUUUUCCUUUGAGAGCUCACUUCACUGAUAUGCCACAAAUCAUAUUUCUCAUUCAAAGAUGUUUCUACAAGCAGCUAAGGGGUCCAUCGGAAGCCCGAUGGCGGGCCCUCUAAUGGAAAUACUACUCUGACAGGUUGAGAAAAACGCACUGGAAGGAAUAAAGACCAACUUAAAAUCUUAUAUAAGAUAUAUCGACAACAUCCUAGUUGUGUGGGAAGAAGAAAGUGAAAUCCAAACCCUAGAGGAUCUCCUUAUGUUAGCACAGUACGGGCUGACUCUAGAUAGAACCCAAUUAAGCAAGAUAAAAGUAAACUACCUGGACAUUGAAAUAAAUCCUAACAAUGGCAGUCUAGUGACAGCGGUCUACAGAAAGCCACAAUAUCAACCCGUCAUAAUACCAAGCUGGUCUCCCGAC
rnacentral:lncRNA from 1 species